AGGGCACCCACAUCAUGUGUGUGUGUGUGUGUGUGUAUAUAUAUAUAUAUAUAUAUAUAUAUAUAUAUAUAUAACUUUGUUGCAAAAGAAUUUUAAAAGCCAAAGGGGCAUUGUAUAUAUGUAUAUAUGCACACUUUGAUAAUCAUGUUCGUAAAUAAACAGUUGAGGGUCAAGCUAAAUCGUUGGAACAUAAUCAUAGAUUAUAACUUUACUUCACAGUCUUAGGCCUAGAACCCCACUAAGGUUAAAAUCACCCAAGGAAUCCAAACCAUUAGGACCGAAAUCACCCUAGUAGGUGAUACAUGAACCGAAAACACAAGCUAGGAAGGAUUCAAAAUCGAAAUCACAAACUAAAAAGGGGCUAGAACCGAAAUCACAAGCCUAGGACACACCUAGGCCGAAAUCAAACAAGUCUAGGCCGAAAUCACUUGGGAUUUCGGCCAUAUUAAGUGAAUUUAAAAGGGAUUUCGGUUUAAGAGAAGUAAAAGAUAAGGUUAAUUGACUUUAUGACUUGAUAUCUCACCUAAUUCCAAUAAUAUAAUAGUAUCCCACUUAUUACCCAUCAAAUAUCCAUGUUCUAACCCCCAGAUUACCAAGUAAACGUCCUAUCAUUCCCCUUCUUUUAUUAAGGAUGAGAUCACCACUUAGGACCUUCCCCAUUUCCAAUUUAAACUUCCAGUAAACUUUAGUUCCUCUCAAGAGCAAAUUCCAAGCUUACAAAUUCAAAAAUCCUUCAAGUGAUCCUUAGAAUUUUGGAUAAUAACAUUUCCAAGAAGUUCAUCCACACCAUCCAAGAGUUUAGGCUUGGAAAUCUUCUCAUCAUCACCUCAAGCAACCCAAAAAAACCACUCAAGGAAACAAGUAAACAAGUAUUCAAACUAUUUUGAGGGCAGACGUUGUUGCAUCAUGAAUUCUACUUUUCAAUUACAUAUAUUUGACUUUUGAACAAACGACGUUUGUAAACAAUGUAAACUUGUAAUCUCAAUGUAUGAUGUUUUGGGUUGCUAUGAUUCAUUUACAUUCAAUUGUUAUGAUACUGUGAAAUGACGUCAUCCACCCUUGGACGUUUAUGCCUUUCCGGUUUGGGGGUGCGAUAGAUUGUAUCAGAGCAUUGUUUUUAGUGAACUAGUAUAUCAAACCAUACAAAGAUAUACACUUAUAAAUACAAUGGGGCUAUAACACUCUGAUCACAAAUAUGCCUUUAAAAAUAUAAUAAUAUUUUAAGUAAAGUAUAAGUACACACAAAUUAGGGCAGUGUC